rnacentral:lncRNA from 1 species
CUCUCAUCGGUCUUUGAGAAGUCUUUUCUGGGAAGAAGUUGCCAACAGCCUGUUCCCCAAAAUGGAAGGAGAUAGUGGAAUUAUAGACCACACAAAUUAACGUGAAUUCCUGGAAAAAUCCAGAGCAAAGAGUUAAAAUCUUGUUUCAAGCAGAUUUUCCAGGUUUUCUGGCAUAUACAAGUCACUUUUUAGGCUGACGAAUGGAUGUACAUUAAGUUCAAGGGCAGAUGAAGCAAGAGGAUGCUGUGUGACAUAUCUUCUCUUUUCUGGAAAUAAAGAUGAGGUACUGUCAGAAGCUGCAAUAUCAAUAGAGGACAUACUGGAGCAGAAGGCAAAAAUUAGAGAAUAAG